CUGGAUUAACCAGUGGUUAGUGGAGAUGCGAGAAAAGACGCUAAUGCUGGCAAGGCAAUAACAUGGACUUCCUCGCCUUAUUCCUCUUUUCAUCAGAGAUGGCAAAACCAGCAGCUCCUUCUGCCUCGAGUUGCUUACUGAACUGAAAGGAAAGGAGUGUACACAAAGAAGCCAUAGGAACAAAAGCCAGCUGGUGGUGCGCAGGUAAUCCCAGUCUUCCAGAUAGACCUCUGAGCUACUGCAGUGUCUGGCACUGGGCCAUAAAAGACGAACUGGGAAGGGACCCCUAUUCCUUCACAUGAAGUAAAGCCAGGGCCCCACUCUGCUGUCUUCCAAGACUAGAAGCACAGCACAGGAAGCGAAGAGGACCGAUGUGCAGUCCUACACCAGAUGGCUCACAACUGUCAUUCCAGCUCCAGAGGAUCUGACACCCUUUUCUGCCUUCCAUGGGCACCUUCCUCUUCCUCCUGAGACAGGACAUAGAUGAGCAUUUAAUAAAUAAGACAGAAGC
rnacentral:lncRNA from 1 species